rnacentral:rRNA from 1 species
CCUACGGGGGGCAGCAGUGGGGAAUAUUGGACAAUGGGGGGAACCCUGAUCCAGCCAUGCCGCGUGUGUGAAGAAGGCCCUCGGGUUGUAAAGCACUUUCAGUGAGGAAGAACGCCUGGUGGUUAAUACCCAUCAGGAAAGACAUCACUCACAGAAGAAGCACCGGCUAACUCCGUGCCAGCAGCCGCGGUAAUACGGAGGGUGCGAGCGUUAAUCGGAAUUACUGGGCGUAAAGCGCGCGUAGGUGGCUUGAUAAGCCGGUUGUGAAAGCCCCGGGCUCAACCUGGGAACGGCAUCCGGAACUGGCAAGCUAGAGUGUAGGAGAGGAAGGUAGAAUUCCCGGUGUAGCGGUGAAAUGCGUAGAGAUCGGGAGGAAUACCAGUGGCGAAGGCGGCCUACUGGACUGACACUGACGCUGAGGUGCGAAAGCGUGGGUAGCAAACAGGAUUAGAUACCCGGGUAGUC